rnacentral:rRNA from 1 species
UACGGAGGGUGCAAGCGUUGCUCGGAAUUAUUGGGCGUAAAGGGUAGGUAGGUGGUCUCAUUUGUCUGGGGUGAAAGCCUUGAGCUUAACUCAAGAAGUGCCCCGGAAACGGUGAGACUAGAGUCCUAGAGAGGGUCGUGGAAUUCCCGGUGUAGCGGUGAAGUGCGUAGAGAUCGGGAGGAACACCAGAGGCGAAGGCGGCGACCUGGAUAGGUACUGACACUCAACUACGAAAGCGUGGGGAGCAAACAGG